AGCCCGCGCGCAGGGCCUGGCGGCUGCCCUCGCCCGCCCCCGGGCAGGGGCGCGUCCUCCUGCCUGCGGCCCCUCGCAGGCGCUUUCCGUACAGCUGCCCCGGGAACCGCGCUGAGCCAGGACACUAAUGCUGCAGAUUGUGCCAAAACAGCUUUACCAGCAAAGACGCCGCAGUACAGAAAAGGAAAAAGCAAAACAAAAAACCCAAAUCAGACCACCAGAUGCAGCAGAGGACACUCCCAGCAGAGCUCCAUGUGCAAAUCGGAUGUUCCACAUUAUUUGAACAACAUGAGGCAUCAAGUGUUAGGCAUUCUGAGAGUCAUUUGUUAUUGA
rnacentral:lncRNA from 1 species